UAAUACGGAGGGUGCAAACGUUGUUCGGAAUCAUUGGGCGUAAAGCGCACGCAGGCGGUUUAUCAGGUCGGAUGUGAAAUGCCGGGGCUCAACCCCGGAACUGCGUUCGAAACCGGUAAGCUGGAGUCACGGAGGGAGAAGGGGAAUUCCUGGUGUAGGGGUGAAAUCCGUAGAGAUCAGGAGGAACACCGGCGGCGAAAGCGCCUUCUUGGACGAUGACUGACGCUGAGGUGCGAAAGCGUGGGGAGCAAACAGG
rnacentral:rRNA from 1 species